rfam:Gossypium hirsutum cultivar TM-1 chromosome 1, whole genome shotgun sequence
ACGACCUUACUUGAACAGGAUCUGUUCUAUAGGCUCGUACCUCUGUAUCCAUAAGUUCAAAGGAGACAGGAUUUCAAGUCUGGUUGACAAACUAUGACUGUGUGACCUAAGCGUGAUUAUUGGUCUUGUGGUGCCCUCGCCGGUUUCACUUCGACCGCUGAGGAUCGUUCUUAGCUUGCCUUGAGCGGCUGGGAUGGUCGCACAGUUGUCUGACAGACC